AUGUAUUCCACAUCCACAGUCAGGGAACACACGAACACAACAACAACAACAAUAUUUCUUUAUAUUGUGUUCACAGGAGCAGCUCUAAAGCCGUACACGAGGACACUUACUGCCACAGAGGACGGAGCACUGCUGCAGUGUGUUGUUCAAGGUGCUUCUCCUAAACCUAAAGUAGAGUGGAAGGACAGUGCUGGAAACAUCCUUCCUGCUGAGGAGACACAGGUCUCAGACAGAGGAGGACGUUACUACGUUACCCUCCUCACCACUGUGACCAAGACUGAUCACUACCGCUGUGUAGUCACACAGGAGGAAAUCCACCAUGAGACUCAUUCUGAGACCUACGUGUUCAUCAAUGAGAAACUGCGUGAGGAAUCAUCCAGCAAAGAGCUCAUUGGAUGGUUGGGUGGAUUGUUUAGUGGAUGGGUUUCAGGAGUUUUAACUCUUGCUGCAGUUCUGGUUUUGCUUGUGGCUACAAAGUGCAUCAUAAUACGUCGUAUUAAAGGUAAGUUUAUAUAAUGUAUCAACAGAUCCAUAAUGUGCAGACAUCAACAUAACAGAUCCACUGAGACUAUCAGGUCCAGAGACUUUGACAGUUUGUGUUUGUCUUCUCAGAUAUGAACCAUUCUGUUGGUAUUUACAUGAGGCCUCUGGUUCUAAUACUGAUUGAUUCAUUAAACAUAAAGAAAACACAAUCAUUAAUCUAUGAUCAUAACUAUUGAUUAAGCUCUGAAUAUCACUCACACUCAGUCUGUAGGCUUAGUGCUUCUGCUCGGUUUGUUGUAGUCCUGAAUAUCUCAGGCUGUAACUCUUAAAGGAAGAGUUCAACAUUUGAGAAAUACCCUAACCUUACCUGUUAAGUGUGGAGUUGAACCCAGGAGGUGGUUAGCUUAGCUUAGCAUGAAGACUGGAAGCAGGAGGAAACUGUGUCAUGAACCUGCUCACAGUUCAUCCAAUCCAACUUUAUUUGUUAAGCACUUUAAAACAACCAAAGUUGACCAAAGUGCUGUACAGGAGAAUGAAUAAGACAUCAUAAAUAAAAGACAUAACAGCUCACAUGAGGAGCAAAAUUACAUAUAAAAUACAACAAUAAAUUAAAAGACAUAAAACAUGAGUACAAAUAAUAGCCAUGCAAUAAAAAACAAUCAAAACAAGAAAUUAAAUCAAGUAAAUAAAGUCGACAUCUUACUCGGUGUCAAAGGCCACAGAGAAGAGAUGGUUUUAAGACGGGAUUUAAAAUCAGACAGAGAAGAGGCCUG
rnacentral:lncRNA from 15 species